rnacentral:rRNA from 1 species
AGUGAACGCUGGCGGUAGGCCUAACACAUGCAAGUCGAACGGCAGCACAGUAAGAGCUUGCUCUUACGGGUGGCGAGUGGCGGACGGGUGAGGAAUACAUCGGAAUCUACUUUUUCGUGGGGGAUAACGUAGGGAAACUUACGCUAAUACCGCAUACGACCUCCGGGUGAAAGCAGGGGAUCUUCGGACCUUGCGCGAUUUAAGGAGCCGAUGUCGGAUUAGCUAGUUGGCGGGGUAGAGGCCCACCAAGGCGACGAUCCGUAGCUGGUCUGAGAGGAUGAUCAGGCACACGGGAACUGAGACACGGCACAGACUCCUACGGGAGGCAGCAGUGGGGAAUAUUGGACAAUGGGCGCAAGCCUGAUCCAGCCAUACCGCGUGGGUGAAGAAGGCCUUCGGGUGGUAAAGCCCUUUUGUUGGGAAAGAAAAGCAGCAGGUUAAUACCCCGCUGUUCUGACGGUACCCAAGGAAUAAGCACCGGCUAACUUCGUG